rnacentral:rRNA from 1 species
AGAGUUUGAUCCUGGCUCAGGAUGAACGCUGGCGGCGUGCUUAACACAUGCAAGUCGAACGGAAAUAUUUUUUGGAAGGCUUCGGCUGGAAGGAGGAUAUUUUAGUGGCGGACGGGUGAGUAACGUGUGGGCAACCUGCCCCAUACAGGGGAAUAAUCGCUGGAAACGGCGACUAAUACCGCAUGAGGUCACGGGAGGGCAUCCUCUUGUGAAGAAAGGAGAGAUCUGGUAUGGGAUGGGCCCGCAUCUGAUUAGCUAGUUGGUGAGAUAACAGCUCACCAAGGCGACGAUCAGUAGCCGACCUGAGAGGGUGAUCGGCCACAUUGGGACUGAGAGACGGCCCAAACUCCUACGGGAGGCAGCAGUGGGGAAUAUUGCACAAUGGGGGGAACCCUGAUGCAGCAACGCCGCGUGAAGGAAGAAGGUUUUCGGAUCGUAAACUUCUAUCAAUAGGGACGAAGAAAGUGACGGUACCUAAAUAAGAAGCCCCGGCUAACUACGUGCCAGCAGCCGCGGUAAUACGUAGGGGGCAAGCGUUAUCCGGAAUUACUGGGUGUAAAGGGAGCGUAGGCGGCAUGGCAAGCCAGAUGUGAAAGCCCGCGGCUUAACCGCGCGGAUUGCAUUUGGAACUGUCAAGCUAGAGUACAGGAGAGGAAAGCGGAAUUCCUAGUGUAGCGGUGAAAUGCGUAGAUAUUAGGAAGAACACCAGUGGCGAAGGCGGCUUUCUGGACUGCAACAGACGCUGAGGCUCGAAAGCGUGGGGAGCAAACAGGAUUAGAUACCCUGGUAGUCCACGCUGU